GUAGGAAUCUUGCGCAAUGGGCGAAAGCCUGACGCAGCAACGCCGCGUGGGGGAUGAAGGCCCUCGGGUUGUAAACCCCUUUCAGUGGGGACGAAGCGAAAGUGACGGUACCCACAGAAGAAGCCCCGGCCAACUACGUGCCAGCAGCCGCGGUAAUACGUAGGGGGCGAGCGUUGUCCGGAUUUAUUGGGCGUAAAGAGCUCGUAGGCGGUUGCGGAAGUCGAAUGUGAAAUAUCGGGGCUCAACCCCGGGACGCCACUCGAUACUCCGCUGACUUGAGUCCGGUAGGGGAAGGUGGAAUGCCUGGUGUAGCGGUGAAAUGCACAGAUAUCAGGCGGAACACCGGUGGCGAAGGCGGCCUUCUGGGCCGGUACUGACGCUGAGGAGCGAAAGCUAGGGGAGCGAACAGG
rnacentral:rRNA from 1 species